ensembl:lncRNA LINC01470 long intergenic non-protein coding RNA 1470
CACUUUGGUGGAUCUGGAGCCUUACUUACCACAGGGCUGAGGGGCUCCUUGGCCCUAUAAAGCUGUUUUUCAGAUGGGCUGUGGGAGGGAGCUGCUUUCUAAUUCAUCAGGUCCUAAAGGGACUUUCACGUGAGAGAACUAAUCCAAACUCAGUGAUGGUGCAAGGGUACUUCUUACCUCUAGGGACAGUCUCGGGUAUGUCUUCAUCAGCAGCAUGAAAAAGGACUAAUACACCCAGCUACAAACUAUCCCUUAAGCUAAAUAUGACUGGCUUGAAUGGAGCAACUGUAGAAGUAAUCAGAAUCCCCAAGUGAGUGGAACAAGUCAGUUCUAAAAGGGAGAAAAACCUUGGGAAUGCUGGAAACAGACAGCUCAAUGGGCAUAUUCAGAAGAAAACAAUAGAUACCAGUCUUUUCCAAAGUGUGGUGUGAAGAGUACUGCUCCUGUAAAUUUAACGAAAUUUUCCAUGGGCAAGAAAAAAGGAACUCCUGAGAACUGAGAAAUGACUGUUUAAUGAACAAAGAGAGAAGUGACAAUGAGACUGCCCUGUCCAGAGACUCCCAAAUAAAGAAGGAGUGGGAAAGUGGAAUUAGCAAAGCUCUUGUAAUCAUAGCAACUCAUUUGAGAAGAGCUUUGGCAAUUAUCAAAGCAAUCCUUCCUGCAUUAAGAAGAAACUGUUUCCUGGAUGUCACUCGAGUGACUUUCUGGCAAGCCCCAAGUCAACCUAUUGAUCACCAAGAUCUUGCUUUCUCAAUUUGCUCUCUGUACUAUGGAUGAUAUGUUGCUGAAACUAGCCAAGAUGAGAAAAGCAGACUCAUAUUGCCUGAUUUGUAUAUGGAUCAAUUAAUAAAACUUUGUUAAGCA